UGUGUUUAGGUUUAGAUUAUUGAUCUCUAUAUAAGAGUUACCAAAGUUGUGGUGAACCUUAAGAGAAUUUGAGAUUGUGAAGAGAUCAAUAGCUUUACGUUUUGAGUGAGUUUUCUAAAGAAAUUAAAGAGAGUUAUUCUUUAUUUUGAGUUCUUAAACAUUUCUCUAAAACAAGAAUUGGUAUUAGAGCUUUAAAGGUUCAAUCAAACCAACCAAUCCAUUAAGAGAGAAAUAUGAGCGACGUUGUGGUGGUAACGGAGAAACAAGCAAGUGGAGGCGGAGGAGCACCAUCGUCCAUUCAAUGUCCCAUGUUGAACUCGAGUAACUAUACCGUGUGGGCCAUGAGGAUGAGAAGUACACUCAAGGUUCAUGAGGUUUGGGACACUAUAGCGACUAAUGAGUCCAAUGAAAAGAAGAACGACAUGGCAUCUGCUUUGAUGUUCUAAUCCAUACCGGAAGCCCUAGUUCUACAAGUUGGUGAGCUUGAUACAGCGAGGAAAGUAUGGGACUACAUCAAAGCAAAACACGUUGGAGCAGAACGUGUUAAGUUAGCUACAUCAAACUCUUAUGGCAGAGUUAGACCGGUGUACGAUGAAAGAAACAGAGAGAAUUAAUGACUUUGAUGAAAAGUUAGCUGGAAAUUUAAAAAAAUCAGCGUCAUUAGGAGUUAUCAUUGAAGAAUCAAGGCUGGUCAAGAAGUUUUUUAAGAGUCUUCCUUGAAGGAAGUACAUACAAAUUGUAGCAUCUCUUGAACAAGUAUUAGAUCUCAACACUACAGGCUUUGAAGACAUAGUUGGACGUCGUAAAGUGUAUGAAGAACGUAUUUUUGAUGAAGAGGAUGUUCAAGAUAAGCAAAGCAAACUUAUGUAUGCAAACACGGAGAAUCAAACGAGCCAAUACAAUCGAGAGUAUCAUGGAGAUUCUAAAGGUAGAGGUCGAGGAGGAUGCUCUUACUACAAGGGAAGAGGCCGCGGAAGGUUUAAUGGGGGAAGAGAUACAUCAAAAAUCAUGUAUUAUAGGUGUGACAAGUUAGGUCACUACGCCUCUGAUUGCCCGGAUCGACUUCUCAAGCUGCAAGAAACCCAAGAGAACGAGAAAGAUGAUACACAAACUGCGGAUGAACUUAUGGUUCACGAAGUAGUGUAUCUAAAUGAGAAGAAUUGCAUUCCGAGCAACUAUGAAACUAACACCGGAGAAGAUGUGUUUGGUAUCUCGAUAACGGAGCUAGUAACCACAUGACAGGUGAUCAAAGAUACUUCACUAGUACAGAUGAUUCUGUCACCGGGAAAGUGCGAUUUGGCGAUGAUUCACGGAUUGAUAUCAAAAGGAAAGGAUCGAUCUUAUUCUUUGACAAGAAUGGCGAACAUAGAAAGAUGUUGGAUGUCUAUUUCAUUCCGAAUUUAAAAAGCAACAUCAUUAGGUUGGGACAAGCUACAGAACCGGGCUGUGAUAUAAGGAUGAAAGAUGACAUUCUAACAAUGCAUGACCAAGAGGGAAAAUUACUUGUCCAUGCAACAAGAUCAAAGAAUCGACUCUAUAACGUUCGGAUGGCAAGGAAGUGAUAUCUCCCUAUUUUUACUGAUUUUAACUAUGUUUUAGGUAUAGGAUUUUGAGUCUUUAUGUUAUUUCUCGAGUCUUUUAGUGUCUUAUCAGGUAUUCUAUGCAGUGGGACAACAAUGGAGAUGAGGAGACAUUUUGGAGCAAAAUCUACGGAAAAGGAUGCUAAGGACGAUUUCAGUCCCAGAUUCAGCGAGAGUGUCAAUCGAUACACUCCUAGUGUCGAUCGACACCAGUUUCGGCCCAGCAAAGUCCAUUACGCUUUCAAGUUUACAGAAGAGGAAAUUUGCCCAAGAAGACUUCCCUAUUUGUAUUAUUAGUCUUUGGAUGUUUUAUAGGGCUUAUAUAUAGUUUUAGAGGUAAUUGUUUAGACCUAAGUUCCUUUUAUCAAGUUCUUUGCAAAUCCCUAUUUUCAGAGACAUAAGCUAUUCAUCCCUUGUUCUUGAGAGAUUCAUUCAGUUUUCAAUACAGUUAAAAUAUCUCUUCUUACUCUUAUCUUAUUUGCUGUGUUUAUGUUUUCUUACUCAAUUAUGUUGCUUGUUUCAUUCAAUAUGUCUGAGUAGUUUGCUUGUUAUUAAUAGUGUUUCUCAUUAGGGAUUCAUAUGGUUUAGUAGAUCUCCCCCUUUGCUAGGUUAUCUGUAGAAUUCUUCUUCUUUGAUUAUACUUUAUGUUAGAUCUAGAGUAAUUAACUAGAUCUUGAAUCUAGACAAUAGAUAUGCCAACCAUAGGUAUCUGUAGUUGGAUCUAUUAUUUGAUGAGCAUGGUUUAGAAGUGUGUAAUAAGAAUCGGCUUAUCUACUAAGGUGAACAAUUGAACUCGUUUAGAAUGCAAGUUUAGUUUGAAAAUCUCUCGGCUUCUCCGGUUAUUCUUAGCUAUAGGCAUAGGGAGUUUUGCGGAACACCACCGAUUAUUUUAGAAUUAGAGUUUGAGUUUAAGAAUGUAGGUUCCUGAGAAUACCCUAUUCCUAACUCUUUAUUUAAUUGUCUACAACUAAUCAAUCUACUGUCUUUUUACUUUGUUCUCUUUUUAUUUCAAUCAUUACCUGCUAGCUUAAUCUCGAAAUACAACUCACUGUUCGAACAAAAGAACUUUGUAGAAAUCGAUCCCUAAAUACUGCAAUUUAUCUCUUAUUUGAGAGAGUAGUUCUUAAGGAAAUUUGAACCUUAUCAAAUUUGGCGUCGUUGCCAAAGUUCUUGGGAUUGAGUUUAGUUUAGAGAUUUGGUCUAGUUUUUACUUUUACUUUGUUACUCACGCGUUUCUUGUUUUCUUCUUUUUUUUGUGUUUCAGGUGUAUGUCUAGGCAAACAAGGAGCACACAAAAGAAGGAGUUGAUCAACUUGUCUGUUCUGGAAUUGGGGAAACUUGAACGUAGAAACCGAAAAACUCAUAGAUUUGCAAUGGCUGACAGAGUCAUCCAAGCUGAUGCAGAUGGAGAUUUGAGAGAUGAGGAUGGGCAAGCCUACAAUGAGGCUGGUUAGAGAUUGGAUGAUCAUGGACUCAUCCUACCUGAGGACGCCAAUGAGGAUCAGGCGCGCUUCAAUGCGCAAUUAGCUGCCAGAGACGCAGCAGGGCUCGGUGUCGAGCGACACCAACUGGGUGUCGAUCGACACCUUUGGGAGCAUAAUGUAGACGCGAUUGGUGUCGAGCGACACAACAGAGGUGUCGAUCGACACCAACCCCAGGUUCUUGUAGCUAUUCCUCCAGCUGCGGAACCACGUCAUACUCUCGAGGAUUUCAACAGGCCUGACCUGUUCUAUGCUAAUCGAUCAGCGAUCGUACCCCCACCCUUCCAGAGGAACGAUUAUGAGAUGAAGCCUUGCUACUUUGCUUUAGUAGGCCAGCAUCCUUUCCAUGGCUUGUCUCAUGAGCAGCCAAUGGACCAUAUCGAGCGUUUUGAGGACCUCGUUCUGAGCAUCAAAGCUAAUGGAGUCUCAGAGGACUACCUACUGUGCAAGCUCUUCCCUUAUUCAUUGUUGGGGAAGCCGCUUAUUGGCUGAAACAACUUAAAGUGGGUUCCCUCAAGCCUUAGAGAAGCAUCAAAAUAGCUUUCUUGAACAAUUUCUAUGAUGAUGCUAAGUCUGAGGAGCUGAGAAACAAGCUGUCUACCUUCACCCAAGGUCUAGCUGAAUCUUUCAAAGCCGCUUGGGUUCGUUUCAAGGAGUAUCAUCGGGACUGCCCGCAUCAUGGCUUCGUGAGGUACAACUUCUUGGUACCUUUUUAAGAGGAGUGGAUUGGAGAUACCUGAUUGCUCUAGAUGCAGCAAGCAAUGGUAACUUCAACACGAGAUAUCCAGCUGAUGCUACCGCUCUGAUAGAGAAUCUCGCUUGCAGUAACAGCACCAAGAAUGCUGACUUUGAGAGGAAGAAGAUUGCUGGAGCUGUUUCAGGCAAUCAGAUGGCAGAGGUGAAUGCUAAGUUAGAUUCAGUUCAUAACUUGCUUACAAGGAAGAAGCAUGUCCACUUUGCAGCUGAGGAUGAGACCAUUGAGCCCGAAUAUGAGUCUAAAGAGGGAGUCUUCUACAUAGAUGGUCAGGCUACAGGAAGUUUGGGCAGCCACAAGGCAACUUCAGUGGCAAUUGGUUUACAGGGAACCAGAGUUCCUCAAACUACACUCCAAAACCUGCUAUCCAGAAGAAAUUUCCUCAUAGCAACUUCUAGAGGAACUAUGGUAAUUCAGCUUAACCCCCCUCUACCCUCCUUAGAGACCAGAAUAGAAUCCAUGCUUGAGCAGAUUCUUGAGAGCAAAACAAAGCUCGUUGUGGAGUUUAAAGGCAAGUUUGAUGCUGUCUACACAGAUCUUAAUGGGAAGAUCGACAAUCUGAGCUCUCACUUGAAGAAGCUAGAUGUAUAGGUUGCUCAAACUACAUAAUCCAUUAAGAGACAAGAGGGCAUUCUUCUUGGUAAUCCGUGAUGCUAACCCAAGGAAGAGCUGUAAUGCCAUCUUGAUCAGAGAAGGAGAUGAUGUGUGGGAAGAAUUGGACACUGAAGACGAGUUGGAGCUCGUAGUUGUAGAGAUGGUGUCGAACGACAAAGAGAUGGUGUCUAUCGACACCCUAUGAAAAAAUCUUCUCUGAGAAGAUUCCACACGAUGGUGUCGAUUGACUCACCUCUUGUGUUGAUCGCCACUAGGUCCGGACUGCACCAUAUGAGGUGCAAGUCCCAAUGCAGGCCGAGUCUGCUUACACUCCUCCUGCCCUUAUCUGAGGAAGUGUCGUUCUAAGUAGGAGAUUCACGCUGCUAAGUGCAUAACCAUCUUGGAAAAGAUCCUCACUUCUCUUCCUAAGGAUGUUUCUGAGACAUCUUCUACUCCACUCAAUAGGUAUGUCAAGCGACUUGUUGACAAUGGUAUUACCUCAGAUGACACUAAGCUGCUGACCCGGGACAUCAGUGCAAUCAUGCUGCCUAAGGUCAGGAAAGAGAAAGCACAGAGUGUGGACAUUCCUGACUACAUCCGCACCAUCACUCCUGAUCAGACCAUUGAGAAGCUUCCAGAUCCAGGUAGCUUUGUUCUUGAUUCCUCUAUCUCCUCAAGCAGGUUCAUCGCUCUUUGUGUGAUCUGGGAUCAAGUAUCAACCUCAUUACUAAGUUUGUUGCUGAGAGACUAGGCAUGACUAACUAAAGGCCGACUCGAAUCACUCUCCUCUUCGCGGAUCAUUCCAAACGAAUCUCUAAAGGAAUCCUUGAGGAUUUGCCUGUUAAGGUUGGUAACUCUCUAAUCCCUGCUGAUUUCGUGGUCCUGGACUAUGAUAAGAAACCCAAGGAUCCUAUGAUCCUUGGAAAAGAAUUCCUAGCUACAGCUGGUGAUAGGAUUGAUGCGAAGAAAGGUAGGAUCUCUCUAAAGGUUUAUGAUUUGAAGAUGAAGUUUGGCAUGGAUGGUUCAGAGUUCACUAAGACUAUCAGUAGUAUUGCCUCUAGCACAGACACACCUCCUCAGAAUCCCAGACAUAGCCACACACAACGCUCCCAUCAGCUCAGCUCGCCAAAGGGAGUUUUAGAGCAACGGUGUCGAUCGACACCACAACUCCUGUCGAUCGACACUCUCGGGAUUCACAGACAGAGGGUUCUGCACAAUCUCUUCAGCCCACACCUAUUUCAGCUUUAGGUGAUAGGUUCUCUUGUAUUUCUUCUCCUGUUUUCCCUUCGACUAAUUCUUUCGAUUCUUCGAAGUCUGCUUCACAAGAUAACAAGCCUAGAGUUCUUCGAAAGCUUGUUUCUCAUGUUGUUUUUGCAGGUAACGAGAAGAGUAUUGAUCGACACACCGCUGAGUGUCGAUCGACACCUACAGCUGUCUAGACCGGUUCAGCUUACACACCGCCUUGGAGGGCGUGGAGGAAGCAAUCCUCCACCAUUCCACCCACAUCCUGAACUCCGCAAACUCAAGCUAUUGACUCAAAAUAAGUGCUUAGUGGGAGGCAACCCACUGGUUUGAUUUUUCUCUUCCCUUUCUUUUAUUUUCUUUUAUUUUUGAUUUAUUUUUCCCACCUUCUUCGUAUUUGAAUGCCACUGGGACAGUGUCGUUUAAGUCUGGGGGAGGUUCUUACUAAUUAUGCUUUUAUUUUUUAUUCUUUUUUUUUUUUGUUUUUGAGUUUAUUCAGUCAUUUUCUUUUCCUUCUUAAAAGAAAAAAAAAACGUUUUGUUUAGUUUAGUUAGGAAUCAUUAUCUAUAUUUCUUUUCCUUCUUAAAAGAAAAAAAAAACGUUUUGUUUAGGUUGAUGAGUGUUGCAGGUUCGACUCAAUCCGACUAUUGGAAAAUCUAGAUGGCAAACCAACAGACUUGAGGGUAUCCUAGUUUCCAACACAACCUCUAAGGCUGGAGCUAAUCUCACUUCUCUUCUUUUUACCUCUUCAAACGGUUAGUAUUCAUAGAUCUUGACUCCUUAUUCAUACCUGAUAUUGAGACCAAUGUGAUCAAGAAACUUAGUGUUCCUCUCCCCUUAUAUAAAAAAAAAGAAAAUAAUAAUGAGAGAUUGAUAGGAUUUUCAGAUAGUGUAUAGGGGUAGGAAUGCUUCCUAUGAUCCCAUUAUUAUACAUUAUUUGGAAUGAUCAAUUAUAAAGGUUGGAAAAUGACGAGGGUGUCGAUCCAGUAUGCGAGUUCCGCUUUGUUUACUUUUUAUUAUUAUACAUUAUUUGGAAUGAUCAAUUAUAAAGGUUGGAAAAUGACGAGGGUGUCGAUCCAGUAUGCGAGUUCCGCUUUGUUUACUCUCUAAAAAGAAUAAGUAUAGGGGCGAGAAAGAGCACAAAAGAAAAAAAAAUGGUCGACUUAUCAUGGUAUAGUAGAGGAAUGAGUCUAGAAGGAUCUUGAAUGUUAGCUUGAUUGAUGAAAUCCAACGAUGAAAGCCUGGUGGAUAUAGUUGUGGAACUUAGGUAUGAAAUUUAGAAAGUUGUGUAAGCUUGCAGAGAAGUACAUGUUGGUUAGGAUUUGAUUAGACUUGCUAGGCAUGUGGAUUCAGUUUGGAUGAUCAUGGCAAUAAACUAGAGAAUGUUGGGAGUUCCUUUGUUUCAAAAUCUCUUCCACGGGUUCGGCUUUUGUGUUUUGCUUGAAGGCAAGCAAAAGCUAAGUCUGGGGGAGUUGAUAUAUCCCUACUUUACUGAUUUUACCUAUGUUUUAGGUAUAGGAUUUUGGGUCUUUAUGUUAUUUCUCGAGUCUUUUUAGUGUCUUUUCAGGUAUUCUAUGUAGUGGGACAACAAUGGAGAUGAAGAGACAUUUUCGAGCAAAAGCUAAGGUAAAGGAAGCAAAGGACGAUUUCAGUUCCAGAUUCAGCGAGAGUGUCGAUCGAUACACUCCUGGUGUCGAUCGAUCGACACCUGUUUCGGCCCAGCAAAGUCCAUUACGCUUUCAAGUUUACAGAAGAGGAAAUUUGCCCCAUAAGACUUCCCUAUUUGCAUUAUUAGUCCAUGGACGUUUUAUAGGGCUUAUAUAUAGUUUUAGAGCUCAUUAUUUAGACCUAAGUUCCUUUUAUCAAGUUCUUUGCAAAUCCCUAUUUUCAGAGACUGAAGCUAUUCAUCCCUUGUUCUUGAGAGAUUCAUUUAGUUUUCAAUACAGUGAAGAGAUCCUUAUCUUAUUUGCUGUGUUUAUACUUUCUUAUUCAAUUAUGUUGCUUGUUUUAUUUAAUAUGUCUGAGUAGUUUCCUUGUUAGGAAGAGGGUUUCUCAUUAGGGAUUCAUAUGGUUUAGUAGAUCACCCCCUUAGCUAGGUUAUCAGAAUUCUUCAUCUUUGAUUAUAUUUUAUGCUAGAUCUAGCGUAAUUAACUAGAUCUUGAAUCCAGACAAUAGAUAUGCCCACCAUAGGUAUCUGUAGUUGGAUCUAUUAUUUGAUGAGCCUGGUUUAUAGGUGUGUAAUAAGAAUCGGCCUAUCUACUAAGUUGAAAAUUGAACUCUUUUAGAAUGCAUGUUUAGGCUGAAAAUCUUUCGGCUUCUCCGGUUAUUCUUAACUAUCGACAUAGGGAGUUUCGUAGAGCACCACCGGUUAUUCCAUAAUUAGAGUUUGAGUUUAAGAAUGGUUCGAUAACAACCUAGCUUUCAUUAGAUCUACUAACUAAUAGUUUCCUAAGAAUACCUUGUUCCUAGCUCUUUAUUUAAUCAUUUACAACCAAUCAAUCUGCUGUCUUUAUACCUUGUUCUCUUUUUAUUUCAAUCAUUACCUGCUAGCUUAAUCUCGACAUUCAACUCAUUGUUUGAACAAAAGAACUUUGUGGAAAUCGAUCCUUAAAUACUACAAUUGAUCUCUUAUUUGAGGGAGUAGUUCUUAAGGAAAUUUGAACCUUAUCAGAGAGGAACAGCGUGUUUACAUUUGACAAGCCUUAGUGAAUCAAAUAGAUGGCAUUCGAGAUUGAGACACACAAAUCUCGACACAAUCAAGUCAAUGAUACAAAAGGAGCUAGUAAGAGGAAUUCCACACGUCAAGAUCGAAAAAGAAGUUUGUGAUUUAUGCUUGUUUGGGAAGCAAUCAAGGCAAGUUUUUCCUCAAGGAACCUCAUACAGAGCUGCCAAGAUACUUGAACUCGUUCAUGGAGAUUUAUGUGGUCCUAUAACACCAAGCACACAUGCGGGAAACAAGUACAUUUUUGUUAUUAUCGAUGAUAAAUCUAGGUACAUGUGGACAGCUUUGCUUAAGGAGAAAAGCGACUCUUUCAACAAAUUUAAACAAUUCAGAGCUUUAGUUGAACAAGAAACAAGAAUUAAGAUUCAGACUUUCAGAACAAACAGAGGAGGAGAGUUUAUAUUGCAUGAGUUCACUAAGUUUUGUGAAGAAUCGGGCAUUAAAAGGCACCUUACUGCUCCAUAUUCACCACAACAGAAUGGUGUGGUUGAAAGAAGAAACAGAACUCUGAUGGGAAUGACAAGGAGUGUCAUGAAACACAUGCAUAUACCUAGUUACUUGUGGGGAGAAACAAUAAGACACGCUACUUACCUGUUGAACCGGAUAGCUAGCUACAAGAUUUGUGACUGAUAGCACUCCAUAUGAAGCCUUCUACCGAAAGAAACCAAACGUGAAUCAGCUUAGAGUUUUUGGCUGCAUUGGAUACGCAAAAGUGGAGAAAACACACUUGAAGAAACUAGAUGACAGGUCGAGAAAACUAGUACAUUUAGGUACUGAGCCGGGUUCAAAGGCAUAUCGCUUACUUGACCCCGUAAACUGGAAAAUUGUGGUGAGUAGAGACGUUGUGUUUGAUGAAACAAAAGGAUGGGAUUGGAGUCACAAUAAACCCGAACAUGAUCAUAAUGAAAGCUUCAGUGUCACACUUGGAGAAUUCAGGAAUCAUGGUUUACGAGAAGAAGACAAUGAAUAUGUUGAGACAGAGCAAACAGAGCCUAUUCAGGAGAAUGAAGAACAACAUGAUCAUGAAACGAUUGGAGAAAAUUAAGAAGUCUCUGUAGAUCUUGGAAUAGAAAAUCAAAAUCAACAACCUAGUCUAAGAGGAUCGCAAAGACAAAGCGUAAAGCCAAAGUAUCUUUAAGAUUAUGCAUUACUUGCAGAAGAAGAAGGAGAAAGCCUACUUCUAAUUUUGAAUAAAGAACCAAGAAGCUUCAGUGAGGCUUAGGAGUUUAGAGAUUUGACACUUGCGUGUGAAGACGAGAUACACUCAAUAACAAAGAAUAAGACAUGGAGUCUUGAAGAGCUGCCGCAUGGAGUUAAACCUAUAGGUCUAAACUCAAACGCAACUCGGACGAGAGCAUUUACAAACGCAAGGCUCGAUUGGUCGCCAAAGGUUACGUUCAGCGCUAUGGAGUAGAUUUUGAAGAAGUAUUCGCUCUUGUAGCUCGUCUUAAGAUCAUACGCCUUCUUGUGAACCUUGCAUCAUCAAAUGGUUGGGAGAUACACCAUCUUGAUGUCAAGACAGCAUUCCUUUAUAAAGGAAACCGUGUACGUGACCCAACCAAAGGAUUCGAAGAAAGAGGAAAGGAAGGGAAAGUCUAUAAGCUUCACAAAGCUUUGUAUGGAUUACGACGAGCACAAAGAGCAUAGAACCAUAAGCUGAAUCUGAUUCUUACAGAACUACAAUUCGAAAAGUGUUCCAAAGAACCAUCAGUGUACUGUAAAAACGUAAGCGGAAACACUUUUCUACUUGUGGCAGUGUAUGUAGAUGAUCUCCUCAUAAGAAUCGACAACAGAUCAGCAAUCGCCCUUACCAAGAAUCGUGUCUUCCACGGUCAAAGCAAGCACAUUCAUAGACGUUAUCACUUCAUAAGAGAAUGUGUGGAGAAUGGGCAAGUAGAGGUGGAACACGUUCCGGGAAAUGAGCAAAAGGCAGACAUCGUCACUAAAGCUCUUGGAAGAAUGAAGUUCAAAGAAAUGAGAGAUCUCAUUGGAGUUCAAGAUGUGGUGAAAGAUGGUCUCAAGUUUAAAGGGGAGAAUGUGGGAGUAAGCUUGAGUGUUACUUGAGAUUUAAGUUGUUUAGUUUUGAGAAGGAUUAAGUUUAAUUCCAUAGUAGUUAUCUAAGGAUAUUAUUAGGAGUUAUGUAAUAUUAAUCCUAGUGUGUUUAAGUUUAGAUUAUUGAUCUCUAUAUAAGAGUUACGAAAGUUGUGGUGAACCUUAACAAAAUUAGAGAUUGUGAAGAGAUCAAUAGCUUUAGGUUUUGAGUGAGUUUUCUAAAGAUAUUAAAGAGAGUUAUUCUUUAUUUUGAGUUCUUAAACAUAUCUCUAAAACAAGAUCUUGUACCUCUUUCGAAUCCGGAGAAACCGUCUAACAAUUGUUAUAUUAGGUCCACUAUUAAUCGAAUAUCUGAUUCCUUAAUAAUUUAAUUUGUAUCUACACAGGGGACAUAAGUUACUAGUGUUAAGCCACUUUACAAUGCAUUCUUUACCAAAUCUAUGACCACAAUCUAAAAUCACCCAUUGAGAUCCAUUUAAAAAUGUCUUCAAACAUAUAAGGCGCACAUUCUUCUUGAAGACCACUUUGUUUCUCUUCGUAAAGUUUUACAUCCAACGCUUCAAUUGCUUGCUUACUUGCUGGCUGAAACUUCAUUUCUGUAGAUUCUAAGGAUUCUUGAAUCACUUGGUCAUCGCCAUUGAAAGCUGCUAAUGUACUAAAGGAUAUUAUAAGAGUGUUUUCCCUGUUGUAUUCCUCAGCAUAAACCAGAUCUUAUGCCAACAUGAUCAUAUUUAUAAUCGUUAUAUCUGCAUCUUCUGAAUCCAUACCAGCUAUUACCAAAGAGUAAUAUAAAUCUUCUUUUAUAACGUUUUCUUUUUCAACAAUAAAUUCUUCAAUUGUAAAUGUGUAAAACAAUUUUUCUGGUUCUCUUCCAUGUUGAAUUACCUUCACAAACGUAAUCAGAAUCACUCUCAAUCUUCACUUGAAAAGAAGGAUUUACAGUAUUCAUUAGUGUAAACCAAAAAGAAGAACUCAUUUUAGUGGUUGAAAGAAAUUUUGUUCGUUAAUUUAAAACAUUAGACAUGCGUGAGUAAGAGACACAAUUUUAAAAAUAUAUUUUCUUUUCCAAAUAACUUAUUAUCAUAACCGUUAAGUGCAUUUAUAGGCACGUGUCUGCCGAAUUUAUUAGUUUCUGUAAGUUUAAAUUAAUAUAUGCUGUAAUUAUUAUAUAUAUGAAAUUUAGUCAAUUCUCUCCAUAUGAUUGACACAUCAUCACUUUAACAUUUGCCAUGUGUCUAUUAAAUAAUUAAUGUAAUCUCUUCAACUUUUAAUUUAUAAGUUAAUGAUAUAUUUAUUAUUUAAUUUUAGAUAUUAUUUUAUUUUACAUAUUUAGUUGUACUAUUACUAAAUUUAUUUUAAUAUUACAUGAUUUUUCAAUAAAACUAUUAUAAUAGUUUUCUCUACUCGAAGAUUUUUUUUUUGUAAUCCAAACUCAAAGUAUGAGUGUAUAAUAGUCGUGGAUUACUUAAUGAUUUGAGUAAGUUAUUUUCUUAAAUUGAUAUUUAUAUUCUCCUAAAUUAAUAUUUAUAUAAUAAAUUAUUGAGGGUGAGGAAUACGUAAGGAGCUCCACUAUCAAAUUCUUAAGUUUCUAGAAUCCAACACUACCAUCUAUUAAAUUGGUUUAAGACAAACGUUGUUUAUGAAUUAUGUGCAUGAUGCAUUGGUGAGAAUUUGUUAGAAAAAAUAUUUUAAAUACUAAAAGUAAUUGCUUAUUGUAUGAGUGAAUAAUUAAAUAAAUAAAUUAUUUAUAUAUUUAAGUUAAACAAGACAAAAUAUCCAAAAAAACCGCGGCGUAACACGGAUGAUCCUAGUAUUUAUAAUAAUUCAACGAUAAUUUAUAUAUGUGUGACUAAAGUUAGUCUUCGCGAGACGGUGUAUUUUAAAUAUCUUUCGUAACCUUUGAUCUGAUAUUUAAUUAUGAAUAGACGUGUACGUUGAAAUAAAACCGUUUACAAUUAAUGACUCUUCACUAAAGACAACUUUACAAAAAAAAUAUAAAUAAAACGGUUUUUUCUUAAUAAAAAGUGUUAUCAAAUGGCCAAACGUUCUAUUAAUGAAUCAAACGAUUUUUAUGGGGAGGGAUCAUCUACCAUUGUUUCUAGUGAGAAAGGUAUUGUUAAAAAAAUAUAGCUCAUAGACUUAAUUUCUUUCUAUAAUUAAAUCUUUUUAUAGUUCAAAGAUUUGUUAGAAACGUUUUAACCAUGGAUGUUUACAGAAAUCUAAAAGAUUUUUUUUAAUAAAUAUCAGUCUUGGUUGAUAAUUAUUACAAUUAAAAUAGAUUCCACUGAAAAGGAUAACAUUGCAAAUGUAGUCUCCUGAUUUUCAAUGUCUCUGAGAUCGGAUGCUUAUUUUUUUGUCUUUGAGAUCUAUAGACACGGUGAUGACACGGUUUAUUCUCAUCCAAUUUUAGUAUUGUUCAACUUAAUAAAUAGUUGUUAAUUAGUAUAUAGAAGAAGUGGGUUACUACUCUUAUGUUUAUUUUCUUGCAUAUUUUCGUUCCAUUUUUUACAAAAUUCAAGGCUUUGAUAUACCUAUUUAAAGUUUUGAUUAUAAGUUCCUUUUAAUGUUCUAUACAAUAUGAAUAUGACACGAUUAUAUAUACAAUCUUCAGAAUUUUUAAUUUUUUCAUAAUCAGCAGAGGUAUUAUAUUUGCAAAGAAUCUUAAGUCAAGACCUCCUCUUUUAUGUUAUUUAAUCUUAUUAUUUUAAAAGUUUUCCAUAAAUUAAUUGUACAUUUGUCGUAUAGAUUAUCAACUUCAAACAUUAUCAAAGGAUAACGCACCACCAAAUAGCAAACGUAAGUAAAAAAUACAAUAUUUUAUAAAGAGAAUAUACAUAAAAUAACUAUGAAUCGUAAAAAAUUUAACAAAGUAGCUAUGGUGUCAGAGUACACUCUCUUUCUUCACUUACAAUUACUUUUAUACCAAUUUUCGAAUUUUAUAUAUAUUACACGCUAUUUUCCAAAAUCACACAGAAUAUUUAGAUGAUUCUAUUGUGAAAAACUUUUGACGAAUCCGAAAAACCCACCACUCAUCUCUCUUUCUUCUACCACCACAACCACCACAUCUUCCACCAUCACAACCACCAGAUCUCUUUUUCGAUAAAUCUAGGCUACUAAACUUUAUUUAUAUUGAUAGAUCAUCUCUCCCUCAAUUUGCAGAAGAUUUCUCAUUUUAUUUUGUUCAAUUUUGAUUCUUUCUUCGAACCUCUGUCGUUAUGUUCUCUUUUUAAAUUGUAUGUAAUUUUCUUUUUUACCAUGCUACUUUUUCGAAUUACAGGUUAUAAUUCGAAAUCUCUCUCAAACAACAUGCUACUUUUUCAUAUAACAAAUUAUUUAUUCUCAUAACACAUUAUAAAAUGUCAUUUUCUUUAUAAAUAUCAUGCUAUUUAUUUUGUUCGAUUUUGAUUCGUUCUUAGAAUCUCUGUCGUUAUGUUUUUUUUUAAAUUGCAUGUUAUUUUCUUUUGUACUAUGCUACUUUUUUAAUUACACGUGAUAACUGGAAAUCUCUCUAUGUCAACAUGCUACUUUUUCAUAUAACACAUUAUUUAUUCUUAUAACACAUUAUAAAAUGUCACUUUUUUGAUAAAUAUCAUGCUAUUUUCAUAAGCUUGGUUUUGGUUCAACUUGCAAGGACAUUUUUGUAGUUUCUUAUGCCGUCAUAAGGUUAUUUAUUCACAUACAAACUGACAAUGGUUAGUUACUUAAUUCUUUUCAAUUCUAUGGUUACUUUAUACUAUUACCCUUUUAUAAAUCCAAUUCAUUUAACUAACAUCUAUACUAUUAAUUGGGAAGCAUUGUGUGAACUACAACAUUGUAAGGGUAGUUUUAAUAAAUUAAUUUUUGCAUGGGUAAUUUAGUAAAUUAACAACUACUACAAAUAAAUAAAUAUCUUAGAUUUUGUUUAUAAAAAAAAAAUAUAAUUAAAUCAAUAAAUUAAUAACUACCCAAUAUUUUUGGAAAUCAUUUAAAAACGUUUCCAUAACAUAUCAGGCUAUUUUAAUUCGAAUUUUAUAUAUGUAAACUUAUUUAUUUUAGUAAUAUGUUAUUAGAUAAUACGGAAACUUCAAUCUAAUUUAAUAACAAAUUAUCAUUUAGUUUAAAUUUUAUACAAUUUCUUUAACAAAACUAUGUUAACUGUUUCUGAUUAGUACACAUAAAAAAUGAUUUUUAAUUAUGAUUUAGCAUUCAAAAGAGAAUUUUUGGAUUUUAGAUUUGUAAUUAACUAGAAAAUAGUUUCAGUACAGAUUAAAAUAUUUAACAUUUUUUAAAAAAAUACAUAAGGAUAAUGCAUAAGGAUAAGUUUAAUUUUAAAAAUAUACCAAAAUCAUUAAGAUCAUAGUAAAAUUUAGCUUUUAAAAAAAACAAAUCGUCAUCCUCAAUUUAAAAUAUAUAAUUCAGAUUAGUUUUUUCUAGUAAAGCUAAGAUUGAAUCCAAAUUAAAAUCUAAUUUUGCGUACAAUCUAUCUCUUAUAAAUGUUAUGCAUACAUUCACAUUCACAUUGCGUACAAUCUAUCUCUUAUAAAUGUUAUGCAUAAUUUUGAGAUUCAUAAGUAACUUACAUCAUGUUCUAAUGAUGUUUAUCUCCUAAUUUUACUAUUCAUUUAUGCAUAUUCUUAUAGAUUUUUCUUUCAGGGUCAACACUUGAAUACAAGAAAUUAGUCGGGUGUUGGUCAAUAUUAUACCACAGAUAAAAUCAUGGAAUUAACAAUUAAAAUAUAGUUAUACAAUCUGAAACAAUAAACAAAACAAAUAUAACUUAAUUUAUUUUUUAUUUUUAACUAAAAUCAACAAAUUUAUCAGUUUAUUAAAAAAAAAAAAAAACAAUUAGCAUGUGGUACCCUACGGGUAAAUCACUACGAUUUCAUGAGGUUGCAAUAUCAAUUUAUACAAAUUUUGACUUUUAAAAUAUACUUUAUACAAUUAUUGAAAGGUAUACACUAAAAAUUGGUUUUAUAUACUACAAUAUCAUAAAGUUAUAAAUCAAAAAUUAUUUUUAAAUAUAUUAAUCCAAGAUCUACCACAAGUUAAUCCCUCGAUUUUUUAACAUAUUACAAUAAGAAUAUUAAAAAUAACAAAAAUAAUAUUUAAUUUUACGAAAUGAAGUUAUCUGGUGGAACGAGUUUGGUUUGAUAUUCAUACGGGAUGAUAAUCUACGAGUGAAAUCUUAGAAUUAACAAUUUUAACACAAUUAUCCUAUCUCAAACACUAAACAAAAGAAACAAUAUUUACAAAACAACUAUAAACUUAAAAUUUGAAUUUUUAGUUACAAAAAAAUCAACUAAUGGUGUACCUCAAAGUAAAUUUCACGCUAUAUCAUCUAAUUGAUCAAAUUUCAAACAAAACAAUUAAUUUGUAUAUACAUCAAACUAACAAAAAUACACAGAUUUUCCAAAUAUCUCUAUAUUAUUCCGCAAAUCGAAACAAAUCUAAUAUUCAAUUUAUUAUGCAAAAUACGAAAAAUAUAAAAAAUAUAAAUUAAUUAAAAAAUUUAGCUAUUGUAUCAUAAAUAACAUUAUACACUUUUCUAUGCACAUUAUAAUUUAUACACUACAAUAUCUUUCACCAAAAAUGUAUUAUAGUUAUUUCUUAAAAUAUGAAACCCCGCACAUAUGUGCGGGUCAAAAUCUAGUAUGAUGAUAAACUUAAAAUCAUUGCUUAUGUUUUACAAACUGUUUUGACAAAAUUAAAUAGAAAAAAGGACGACCAUUUAAAAAAGAACCACAAUGUAAUAAAUAAUAGAUGGAUGCCCAUUAUAAGGCUCUUCAUCUAGGUCCAUCAUCUAGAUGUCUCUAGGGUUUUAGCCUUCCCUUGUACUCCUAUAUAAAGGACUCUUUAUUCAAUGGAAUAACACACUCAUUUUUCUUCUAUCUCUUUCUCUAGUCAUAACACGUUAUCAACACGCUCUAAAAGGUAGAUAUAGAGAUUCUUACAUUUUUUUUAGAACCAUGUUUACUUACAUGGUUCACAAUAUUUAUUUUUCUAUUAUUGAAAUAAAACAAUAUUUGUCGAUCGAUGAUUAUGGUAUCAAUCGGUAAAAGCAUCAUUUCAAUGAUUCAGUAAAGAAGAGAAUCAUGCUUAUCAUUUGUUUCUCUAAUUAUUAUUGCAUGAUUCAAUGAUUCUACAAAAAAAAUUGUUAAAGAAGAGAAUCAUGUUUGUUCAUUGUUGAUUAUUAAUUAUUAAUUUUUUUGAAAUCUACUAUAAUAAUAUAAAAUAUUUUAUUUGAUAUCUUAUUUAGUUAAUAUUUUAUUGUCUAAAAUUCUACAAUUCAAAUUUAAUCUCCUUGAUUUAUCGGUAACGGAUUAGGCACAGUCUAUUUGUCAGUUUGUACUUAAUCUAAUGUUGAAACUUUAUAUAGUCCUAUGAAUGUUUGGUAAAUAAUCGCAGGUUUACGAAUAUGGACUUCGUUGAUCAUACUUUUAACAUGCCGUUAAAGUCAUCAAGUUACAGGUAAUUGACUAAUUUACUCCAUUGAGAGUAGCUUAUUUUGUUAAGCAUGUGUAAUAUGCAGAAUCUAUAAAACUUUGUCCACUUUCAUUCAUAUUAAUAAGGAUUUGAAUUGAAAUUCUGAGAAUGAGAGGUAACCAUAAAUAUCCUCUAUGAGAACUAUAAUAGCCCUUAAAAAGAAACUUAUGUCGUCCAAUUGCAAAGAUAGAAAGUUUAAAUUCAACUGCCUUAUCAGCUUGUAUAUAAAAUCAAGCUUCUUCAACUAUUGAUUUCAAAUGUUCAAUUAGUCUUCUUGAUAGUCUUUUGCUCUGGAGCCGGCAAAUUAGAAUCAGAGACAAAUUAUAUCAGUUUAAUUAGAGAUACAAAUAAGUCAAACAAAUUAUAGCAGUUUAAUUAGAGUAAAUCCUUAAAAAGAUAAACCAAAAACUAAAUCCGAAAAAUAUAAUUAAGCAAAGUACGCACCUUAGUGUAGGUGUUUUCUUUUGACCAAAAAAAAAAAAAGUUUAGCUGUUGUCUUGUGUUUAAGAAACGUCUACGUGGUAGCCUCUGAAUUUUUUUAUUUUUUUUUUGUCAAAUAGUUGGUUUUCAUUAAUUGAGAACCGGUACAGCUGGAAUUAAAAGCAAAGCGGCCUUAGCAAGUGCAUCGGCUUUAGAAUUGUUUUCUCUCUUAACAAAAGAAAAUGAAUUUUCUUCAAAGUUUAGGGAGAGAACUGAGAUGUCGAAGACUAUCCCAUGGAGCUCCAUUGGAUGAGGCUCACCAUUUAGUACUUUGACUAGCUGCUGCGAGUCUGAAGCUACAACAAGUUUUUUGAAUCCAAGAUCUGCUGCGUGUUGGAUAGCGAGAGAGAGAGCCGAUGCUUUUGCCAAUAAGGGAGAUCUGAUGUUCAUCGCUGCAGCUUUAUGAUGGGAUUCCAAAUGGUUCGAAUGGUCCACAAAAACCCAACCGAAACCAGCCUGUAAGGUCUCUUCUCUCCACGAAGCAUCUGUAGAACAUUGAAUCGUGUCUAAAUCGAUCUCUGAGGGAGAUAUACCUGGAAUCACGAUCUUAGAUUUCGAUGCUUGGAUCUGAGCUCCUAACCAUUCUGUGGAUUGAGAAAUAGAUUGGGAUAUGAGAUCCAUACUCGAGAUGUGUUUUUGCUCAAAAAUUAGCUUGUUCCUGCAAUUCCAUAGGUUCCACAAGAUCCAAAUGGGAAGUUGUCCUUGUCCAAUUCCGAUUGGUGGAAGGGUAACGAGGAGCUUUGAGACUUCCAAACCCUGUUUCAUACUUGUGAUCCGGGAAGCUUGAAGCGUGGUUUUGAAAGGAGAAAGAUCCCAGACCUUAGAAGCAAAUGGGCAGAGGAAAAGCAGAUGGAGAAUUGAUUCAGCCUCGUCGCAGUGAGGACAGAGAGCAAGCGGAUUUAUACCACGCAGCCUCAGGUUUUCACCAACUGGGAGAGCAUUCUUCAUGGCUUUCCAGAGGAAAAUUUUCAAUUUUGGGGGGCAGUGUUUGGUCCAUAUCUCCUUAUUUCAGUUAAAGUCCAAUGGAGGUUCUUCUAGUUGAGUACCUUGGUGAGAAAGAGCAUCAGCUGCGUGAUACCCUGUCUUGACCGAGUAGUCUCUAGUCUUAUUAGGUAACCAAACAUAUCGAUCUCUGGCUCCAAAUUUGCUGGGUCUUAGAAGGAAGAUCUCCUUUUCAUAGCUGGGAAGUAACAAUCUUACUUUCUCUCUAUCCCAAGACUUUGUGGUUUGACAAAUAAGCUGAGCUACUGUCAUUGAUUUGAAUUGUUCAAGUGCAGGACCCAUUGGAGUUGAGGAGGUUGAAAGAGAUAGCCACGGUUCGUUCCAAACCAAAGUAUCCAAGCCCGAUCCAAUCACUUUCCCCAGCUGAGAUUUGAUUAGAUCUUUGCCCGUACAAAUGCCUCUCCAACCGUGAGAAGAAGCAGCAGUGACUGAGCAGUCUAGGAAGGACGAGGUUCGACAAUACUUUCCUAGCAGAAUUCUAACCAAAACACACGAUGGAGAUUGCACAAUACGCCAACUCAACUUUGCAAGCAAGGCAUCAUUAAAAUUUGUAAUAUCUUUGAAACCAAGUCCACCCUCCUUCUUGUUCUUUGCCAUUUUUGACCAGGCUAUCCAACACAUCUUCUUUUUAUCUGCAGAAGAGUCCCACCAAAAAUGAGUGAGGGCUGAUUGGAUUCUCUUACAAAGAGAGACAAGAAGUUUGAAGCAGGACAUGGUAUAGGUAGGCAUCGAUGCUAGUACAGACUUCAACAUUGUGGUUUUGCCCGCAGUGGAUAAGAACCGAGAAGACCAACUCAAAGAUCGCUGCCGUAUUCUAUCAACAAUCUGAUUGAAGAGAUCUCUCUUCUUUCUACCAAACAUCUUAGGUAAGCCCAGAUAUUUCCCUAGUCCUCCAACCAGCUGAAUUCCAAGUAUUUGUUGAGCUUCUGUUUUGAUAUGAUCAGGGGUUUUCCUUGAAAAAGUGAUUGCUGAUUUUGAUUUAUUGAUCAUUUGACCAGAUGCCUCUUCAUAUUUCUUGAGAAUGCACAAGAAAGUCUUACAACUUUUGAGAUCAGAGCGGCAGAAAAAUAUCGUAUCAUCUGCAAAAAGAAGAUGAUUAACUCUAGGAUUGCCUUUAGAGACCCGUAAUCCGAGAAGAGAUCCAUCGAGCUGAGCUUUCCUGCACAAACCAGAGAGAA
rnacentral:lncRNA from 1 species